rnacentral:rRNA from 1 species
UACAGAGGGUGCGAGCGUUGUCCGGAAUCACUGGGCGUAAAGCGCGUGUAGGCGGUUGCGCAAGUUGGUUGUGAAAUCUCCCGGCUCAACCGGGAAACUGCAGCCAAAACUGCGCGGCUAGAGUGGCAGAGAGGAAAGUGGAAUUCCCGGUGUAGUAGUGAAAUGCGUAGAUAUCGGGAGGAACACCAGUGGCGAAGGCGACUUCCUGGCCUGUUCUGACGCUGAGGCGCGAAAGCUAGGGGAGCAACGGG